UGAGAGUGGCGAACGGGUGAGUAAUGCGUGACUAACCUGCCUUGUACUUUGGAAUAGCUCCUGGAAACGGGUGGUAAUGCCGAAUAUUCCGCACUAUCGCAUGGUGGUGUGGGAAAGGGUUUCUGGUAUGAGAUGGGGUCGCGUCCUAUCAGCUUGUUGGUGGGGUGAUGGCCUACCAAGGCUUCGACGGGUAGCCGGCCUGAGAGGGUGACCGGCCACAUUGGGACUGAGAUACGGCCCAG
rnacentral:rRNA from 1 species